rnacentral:rRNA from 1 species
GAAACCCGGUGAUCUAGCCAUGGGCAGGUUGAAGGUUGGGUAACACUAACUGGAGGACCGAACCGACUAAUGUUGAAAAAUUAGCGGAUGACUUGUGGCUGGGGGUGAAAGGCCAAUCAAACCGGGAGAUAGCUGGUUCUCCCCGAAAGCUAUUUAGGUAGCGCCUCGUGAAUUCAUCUCCGGGGGUAGAGCACUGUUUCGGCAAGGGGGUCAUCCCGACUUACCAACCCGAUGCAAACUGCGAAUACCGGAGAAUGUUAUCACGGGAGACACACGGCGGGUGCUAACGUCCGUCGUGAAGAGGGAAACAACCCAGACCGCCAGCUAAGGUCCCAAAGUCAUGGUUAAGUGGGAAACGAUGUGGGAAGGCCCAGACAGCCAGGAUGUUGGCUUAGAAGCAGCCAUCAUUUAAAGAAAGCGUAAUAGCUCACUGGUCGAGUCGGCCUGCGCGGAAG